UUACAAUUAGUGGGCAUUUGUGACCGAUAAACACAUUCAAUGGUUUCUAUUGUGAUGCUUUAAAACCCAAAAUUUGGAGAUGGGGAGGAAACUGAUAUCAUAGAUUUAGAUCAAGGAAUGAGGAAGGAUAAAGACGAAAGACAAAGGCCAGAGCAAAAGUUGCUUUGCUAGAAAGGGUGUUGCACGUGGGAGGGGCAAGUUUGGGUGCAGUAGUUGUCAUGCCGAUAUUUCCUACCCAAGGCUUCCCCCUUUGGGUUUACGGGAUACUGAUUGGAUUAAUUAAAGUUCAAGCUUGAAAAUUCUCACGACUUGUGUUCGUGGAAGUAAUCAGCAAGAGAGAUCCAAAAAACGGAGUUGAUUUGCUAGCCGAAGUACUUCCAGUGCUUUUGUGUUAUUGUUCUUUCUAUAAGCUAUGUAAAGUAAUGUUGUUGUAGUAGGAUUGAGGGAGAAUAAUAAGAAUCAUUGUAGAGGUGUACCCUCUCUGCCAUUAGUAUAUUACUUUGAUAUCAUGGUCUAAAUGCUAUGUUUCGCAUUUUAUUGUACAUUAUGGCGAUUAAUAAAUCAGGCUAUAUCAGACGUUUUGG